CUUGGUGCAUGGUUAAAUGGCGGGGGAGCGAUGGAUUUUCACCAAUUCGCAACUUGUAAACACCCCCAGCCGAAAAUGUGGGAUAGACAGCGACAAAGAACUUACUUAUAGACAACAAGCUGCCAACCUUAUUCAAGACAUGGGCCAAAAGCUUCAAGUGUAUCCUAAUUGUCGGUUAAAUUCGACGGCAAGUUUGUGACAAUGAUCUCGAUGUUGUUUCGCUCGUGCUUUCGAAAUUUUCAGGCAACUAGGAAAAUAUAGCGGUCCAUUAGGAAAAAAUCCUGUUUUAAAUCUUACCUUAGUUGGUUAGAUUGUAAAUCACAGUAGUAAAUCCUGUGUAAAAGGUCGAAUAUUCAUAGAAAUUCAGUUUUCUCUUUAGACGAUCUGCGCACAACGUUGACCCAAAUCUCAACCGGCAUUUUCCCAUUGAUAUCACGUGACAUCAUAGUCGUGAACACGUGAUUUUAUUAUGAAUUAAAUAAUCAAUGCUUAGUCUCAGCUUUGUAUCUUUUAAUGAAAAACCAAAGAGUGAUAUAAAAACAAUUUAAAAAUAAAAAUUUGAAAACUAUUUUAAUUGAAUGUUUGAUUAUAGUUCACAUUUUACAGUUACCAUUUUUUUUUCUCAACCAUCUUUAUUUGAAAAAAUCCUUAACAUGUUUACAGUAACCAACUAUGUAUCAACACAGCAAUUGUAUAUAUGCACCGCUUUUACAUGUUCCAUUCCUUCACAGUUUUUCAUCGAAAUGCUAUGGCUGCAGCGAGUUUGUUUUUGGCUGCAAAAGUAGAGGAACAGCCUCGCAAGUUGGAGCAUGUCAUAAAAAUGCUGCACAAAUGUCUUAACCAGGACGCACUGGAAACUAACACAGAUUACUACAUGGAACAAACUCAUCAGUUGGUUACAAAUGAGAACAUCCUACUGCAGACCUUAGGUUUCGACUUGUCUAUUGAACAUCCUCAUACAAAUGUUGUGAAAACGUGUCAGUUAGUGAAAGGUAAGCACUUGUUUUGAGAUUUGAUUGUAAUGUCAAGUGUUGGCAAGAAAUCUAGUAGGUUGAGUCAAAAUGUGGUGCUUGAUUUUUGCCUCUUGUACAAGGUCAAAAAAGAUAUAUGGGGCAGGCAAAGAUAUAUAAUACACAAAUUUUCACCUGGCUGACAUACUUAGUUUCUUUUGUAUUGAAACUAAAGGUAACAUAUUGCAUAGAAAAGCAAGCAUUUAGAUUCUUUACUGAAUUUAGCAAGUUGCCUCUGGAAAAAAAAUUCUUCAAUUGGUGAAAUAUAUUGUGAUUAUAUGACUAAUGGAGCUUUUUCUCUUUCCUGGGUGGGCAACAGCACCAAAGGACUUAGCCCAGACCUCCUACUUCUUGGCAACAAACAGGUUGGUGUUCAUAAUGUGAUACAAACAUGUAUCUCUUGAGACUGCUGGUCUGAUCCAUGUACUGUUCACCUACAUGAAUCAGAAGUCUCCAGCUAGUGAUGACCAUAUGAUAUACACUGCCUGAGGAAAUAUGAAUAGCUUAAUAUUCAUUAGCUUAGAAUAUUUUAAGUACCAUAUUCAUCCUGUUUAGCACCCUUGGCUUUUAAAAAAUGAGGGGGAUACUUGAACCUAACCGGAAUAGUUUCCGAGGUCAAAUAAAUAAAUUCAUAUUAUGUGACAGGUACUUAAUGUAUUUGUAACUGGGAAUAACUCGCAUUUAAAAACUAUGUUUUUCCCUAUUUUCGUAGGCAUAAAACAAUAAGGAGAAAUAGAAUAUUAAUUUCAAUGGCCUUCUGAGGUUUAUGAAUUAAAUUUGUAUUGAGUUAUGAGAUGUGUAGUACAAAAAAAAAUCAAAACACACUUUAAUAAAAGCAUAUAUGUUUAAGAUAUUUUCCAGAAUAAAGACCGAGUGCACAAAUUG
rnacentral:misc_RNA from 1 species